rnacentral:rRNA from 1 species
AGAGUGCGUAAUAGCUCACUAGUCGAGAGGUCCUGCGCCGAAAAUGUCCGGGGCUCAAACACACUGCCGAAGCCCAGGAAUUGAUGAAUGUCAAUUGGUAGAGGAGCAUUCUUAAGAGGAGGAAGCUGUACCGUAAGGAGCAGUGGACCCUUAAGAAGAGAGAAUGCCGGAAUGAGUAGCGAGAGGAAGGUGGGAAUCCUUCCGGCCGAAUAUCUAAGGUUUCCAGAGUAAAGCUGAUCUGCUCUGGGUAAGUCGGGGCCUAAGGCGAGGUCGAAAGACGUAGCCGAUGGACAACAGGUGGAGAUUCCUGUACUAUACCAUGACAGAACUGUGGGGACGCAGGCAGAGAGCGCAUCCCGGGAGUGGAAAACCCGGGGCAAGCGGAGAAGGAGUGCAUCAGGCAAAUCCGGUGCAUAAUCCAAAGACGUGACGCCAAGCGAACUAAAGUAGCGAAGUGCGUGAGCUGACUGCCGAGAAAAGCCGCUAUUGUUCAUGGUAUACCCGUACCGUAAACCGACACAGGUGGAUGAGGAGAGAAUCCUAAGGCCGACGGGAGAAGCAUUGUUAAGGAACUCGGCAAAAUGACCCCGUAACUUCGGGAGAAGGGGUGCCUGGGGAACCAGGCCGCAGAGAAUUGGCCCAAGCAACUGUUUAGCAAAAACACAGGUCUAUGCAAAACCGAAAGGUGAGGUAUAUGGGCUGACGCCUGCCCGGUGCUGGAAGGUUAAGGGGAGAGGUUAGCAUACGCGAAGCUUUGAACUUAAGCCCCAGUAAACGGCGGCCGUAACUAUAACGGUCCUAAGGUAGCGAAAUUCCUUGUCGGGUAAGUUCCGACCCGCACGAAAGGCGUAAUGAUUUGGGCACUGUCUCAACAAUGCACCCGGUGAAAUUGAAGUACCAGUGAAGAUGCUGGUUACCUGCGCCAGGACGGAAAGACCCCAUGGAGCUUUACUCCAGUUUGAUACUGGGAUUCGGUAUUGCAUGUACAGGAUAGGUGGGAGGCUAAGAACCCGUGACGCCAGUUGCGGGGGAGCCGCUGUUGGGAUACCACCCUUGCAGUGCUGGGUUUCUAACCAGCGGCCGUGAACCGGCCGGGGGACAAUGUCAGGCGGGGAGUUUGACUGGGGCGGUCGCCUCCGAAAGGGUAUCG